CAGUAAAAUUCCAGCAGUGCCCAGAAAGAUCUAUCUGUAUACUUUGAAUCAUCCAUCUCCUUGCCUGUCUUUAGUUCAGAUUGCAUCAGCUAAGAAUCCAUUUCCUGAAUUAAUUGAAGACCCCACAAACUGAAUCUUUUUUUUCAAAAUAUUUCAAGAGUAUUACAAGGGAGGGUAUGCAUGAUGACAUCAGCAGCUUUGUGAGGCAGACCACCUGUCAGAGACUUGGACAGUACUGUUUUAGAUGGCAGUGGAUUUGAAUUAAUAUCAGCUUUAGUGAGCAGAGCUAGCCUGCCCUGUGUGCUGUGCUGUGCACAAUUUAAGUUCUUCUGCAGCAGUUAGAGUCCGCUCCAGCACCCACCCACUCGUGUCCGCAAGAAUCAGAAGGACAAGAAAAUGUACUUGCUCUGGGAGGCUCAAACUUUCCUCCUCCAGCUUUCCAUGAGUCCAUAUCUCUAUCCUUGUCUGUGGUCAUGAGCUUUGGGCAGUUACAAUGAUGAUGAAAUCAUGCAGACAAGUAGCAGAAAUCAUGUUACUUUUUAAAGUGACAGGGUUCACCCACAAUAAAACAAUCGGAGCGAAGUAAUCUUGGAGAAAA